CAGAGUAGAAGUCACGCGUAAAGUGCCAAUGGACGGGAAGUUGCUGUUGGACGAAGAAUCGAGGUAGUACGAUCAUACCGGAGAUUUGCGGUGUGCCUUCGCAUCCGCUGU
rnacentral:ncRNA from 1 species